GCCUGCUUGGUGUAGUGGUUUGAGCACUGGACUAUGACUCUAGGGACCAAGGUUCAAAUCCCUGCUUGGCCA